rnacentral:tRNA from 1 species
UUCAAAUAAAUUUUUAAUAUUGAUUUUGUAAAUCAA